rnacentral:rRNA from 1 species
GACGAACGCUGGCGGCGUGCUUAACACAUGCAAGUCGAACGGAAAGGCCCCCUUGUGGGGUACUCGAGUGGCGAACGGGUGAGUAACACGUGAGUAACCUACCCUUGACUUUGGGAUAACUUCAGGAAACUGGGGCUAAUACCGGAUAGGAGCUCCUGCUGCAUGGGGGGGUUGGAAAGUUUCGGCGGUUGGGGAUGGACUCGCGGCUUAUCAGCUUGUUGGUGGGGUAGUGGCUCACCAAGGCUUUGACGGGUAGCCGGCCUGAGAGGGUGACCGGCCACAUUGGGACUGAGAUACGGCCCAGACUCCUACGGGAGGCAGCAGUGGGGAAUAUUGCACAAUGGGCGGAAGCCUGAUGCAGCAACGCCGCGUGCGGGAUGACGGCCUUCGGGUUGUAAACCGCUUUCGCCUGUGACGAAGCGUGAGUGACGGUAAUGGGUAAAGAAGCACCGGCUAACUACGUG